rnacentral:rRNA from 1 species
UACGUAGGGUGCGAGCGUUGUCCGGAAUUAUUGGGCGUAAAGAGCUCGUAGGCGGUGUGUCACGUCGUUCGUGAAAACCUGCAGCUUAACUGUGGGCGUGCGGUCGAUACGGGCAUGACUGGAGUUCGGCAGGGGAGACUGGAAUUCCUGGUGUAGCGGUGAAAUGCGCAGAUAUCAGGAGGAACACCGGUGGCGAAGGCGGGUCUCUGGGCCGAUACUGACGCUGAGGAGCGAAAGCGUGGGGAGCGAACAGG